rnacentral:rRNA from 1 species
UACAGAGGUGGCAAGCGUUGUUCGGAAUUACUGGGCGUAAAGGGCGCGUAGGCGGUCUUGUAAGUCUCGUGUGAAAUCCCUCGGCUUAACUGAGGAACUGCACGGGAUACUGCAUGACUUGAGAUCGGGAGAGGGAAGCGGAAUUCCGGGUGUAGCGGUGAAAUGCGUAGAUAUCAGGAGGAACACCAGCGGCGAAGGCGGCGCUCUGGGCCGGAACUGACGCUGAGGAGCGAAAGCGUGGGUAGCAAACAGG